AAGCUAUGAUUAGGACAUCUUUUCAACAUAGACUUGUAUUGCUCCCAUGUUUCACAGAGAGUUUCAUCUGUUCCUUGAAAAAACAAUGUAAUAGUUGUCUUGACCUC